rnacentral:rRNA from 1 species
UCCCCUACGGGGCGCAGCAGUAGGGAAUUUUCGUCAGUGGGCGCAAGCCUGAACGAGCAAUGCCGCGUGAACGAGGAAGGUCUUCGGAUCGUAAAGUUCUGUUGAAGGGGAAAAAGAGCGGAGAGAGGAAAUGGUCUCCGAUUGAUAUUACCCUUCGAGGAAGUCACGGCUAACUACGUGCCAGCAGCCGCGGUAAUACGUAGGUGGCGAGCGUUAUCCGGAAUGAUUGGGCGUAAAGGGUGCGUAGGCGGUGUUGUAAGUCAUUAGUCAAAGA